UGGGGGAUAUUGCGCAAUGGGGGCAACCCUGACGCAGCAACGCCGCGUGAAGGAUGAAGGUUUUCGGAUUGUAAACUUCUUUUAUUAAGGACGAAACUUGACGGUACUUAAUGAAUAAGCUCCGGCUAACUACGUGCCAGCAGCCGCGGUAAUACGUAGGGAGCAAGCGUUGUCCGGAUUUACUGGGUGUAAAGGGUGCGUAGGCGGCUUUGCAAGUCAGAUGUGAAAUCUAUGGGCUCAACCCAUAAACUGCAUUUGAAAUUGUAGAGCUUGAGUGAAGUAGAGGCAGGCGGAAUUCCCCGUGUAGCGGUGAAAUGCGUAGAGAUGGGGAGGAACACCAGUGGCGAAGGCGGCCUGCUGGGCUUUAACUGACGCUGAGGCACGAAAGCGUGGGUAGCAAACAGGAUUAGAUACCCUGGUAGUCCACGCUGUAAACGAUGAUUACUAGGUGUGGGGGGUCUGACCCCUUCCGUGCCGGAGUUAACACAAUAAGUAAUCCACCUGGGGAGUACGGCCGCAAGGUUGAAACUCAAAGGAAUUGACGGGGGCCCGCACAAGCAGUGGAGUAUGUGGUUUAAUUCGAAGCAACGCGAAGAACCUUACCAGGUCUUGACAUCCAACUAACGAAGUAGAGAUACAUUAGGUGCCCUUCGGGGAAAGUUGAGACAGGUGGUGCAUGGUUGUCGUCAGCUCGUGUCGUGAGAUGUUGGGUUAAGUCCCGCAACGAGCGCAACCCUUGCUAUUAGUUGCUACGCAAGAGCACUCUAAUAGGACUGCCGUUGACAAAACGGAGGAAGGUGGGGACGACGUCAAAUCAUCAUGCCCCUUAUGACCUGGGCUACACACGUACUACAAUGGAUGUUAACAGAGGGAAGCAAGACAGCGAUGUGGAGCAAACCCCUAAAAACAUUCUCAGUUCAGAUUGCAGGCUGCAACCCGCCUGCAUGAAGAUGGAAUUGCUAGUAAUCGCGGAUCAGCAUGCCGCGGUGAAUACGUUCCC
rnacentral:rRNA from 1 species